UGUCGCAGAGGGAGGCAGGCCUCUUGAGACACAGUGCCUCCCUAAGGACUUAUAAUGAGUUAUUGGUUACUGGGGGAUGGAGAGACACAGUCUUCAGUGGUGUAGCUAGUGAGAGAAGAGGACACUUUUGGAAUCAAGAUUUGACACUAUCUCUUGGGGUCCUCAGAAGUUCAAUGUUCAUAGUGAAAUGUGAGAAGAGGAAAACUAAUGAAUGGAAGAACUGUCAAACCAACAGAACCCAAGAAUUGUUGACUUUCAAAAUGACCAGGCUUUCCAAGAUGGAAAACAAUGCCAAAACAAAGAAGUGGCUUCUACACCAAGAUCCAGUGCGGGACUGCCAGACAAUCUUGGCCCGAAAAUGAAGUUGAGGAUAGGAUUGUGAAACCCUCUGUUAAAACCUUAGGAAGGUCCAAGGUAGUGCUUCAGAGAACCAGAGUCAAAUGUUGUGUGCUUCAUUAGUACAGUGAUUCCAGCAGGAUCUCUAAGUAGAGAAGAAAUGAUGUUAAAAGACUGUAGUGUGUGUGUGUGUGUGUGUGUGUGUGUGUGUGUGUGUGUAUGUGUGUUCAAAUGGAAUCAGCCCUAGUAAAACUCACAGGAUACCCAUCACGUUUCUAUGAGUCUACAGUUGUCAGGGAUGUCGAUAGGUUAUACAGAAAGGAACAGAGAUAGGAUGAAAAGGAAAGCUUCUGGACUGUCACUUUUCUAUAGGCAGGAACCAGACUUAGAAAAACAAGCUGCUCAUAGUUGAAAAGAAGUACCCUCCAAAGUGGAAGCAGACAUGUAAAGAGCCAAAAGUCACAGAUGGAUAGUCAUUCCCAGGAAGCAGGAAUGAACAUGCAUGAAGAACUUCUGAUAUUUGCCCAGCCAGAUUCCAGAAUAUCUAUGACCCAGUGACUCCAGCAUGCCCAGCAUUCACUCUGCCUUGAAUGGGAGAGUAGACAGUGGUUAUUGCAAUUCUGUCCCAUUGCUGUGUGGUAUAUAUGUGGUGGUGG